UCGGCUGUGUGGGAGGGUCUCAACAGGACUGUGGGACCACCGAGGAUCCGGUUCUGUGUCUGCGGGUGGAGGGGCGCCUCUGCAGCGGGACGAAGCCCCACCUCCUCCGGCCGGGAUGCUGCUCCGUGGAGCCGGGGCUGCUCCCCUCCUCUGCCCGCGGAACUUGGAUCAUCUGCGGGGAUUAAACGCUGCUUCUGGUCGCUCUCCGCUCCUCUCCCGUUCGGUUUUCUCCGGAACGAGCCGAACAUUUCAGAGUCCUUUAAUCUGCGGAUUAUUUCAUAUCCCGUAGUUUUAUUUAUUUAUUUCAUUUCUUACUGUCUGCUGUGAUUCACGGAGAAGCUCCUCCACCUCCGGAUGGAGAUGAUGUGAAGCGCGGAAACAGGAGGAACCAGGACCGGGAGGCUGGCGGGGAUUAUCCUGGGGAAGGAUUAUAUUCCCAGGAUCAGAGGCUUCCAUCACUGCUGCCUUCACUUUCUGCUCUUUCUGAGCCUGUUUUACUGUCUUUCCUGACAUCUCUGCUAAUCUAAAUUAUUUUAGGAAAAGGUCUAAAACUCAUCCUCUGAUGGAGUCACACACAUAUCAAAGGAGAUAAAAUGAGUUUUUGUUAAUGUUUAAUCUGAUGAAACAACAAGCAGAAAGAACAUUAAAACCCUAGUGUCAACUUUAAGGACAAUAAUCCCAGUUUUAUUGUCCAGAUUGGGUCAAAUUCUGGCAGAGUGGAAACUCAGCUAAACUCUAUAAAAUAUAGCUAUUUUUAAUAUUUCUAUUUGACAUUAGAAUUAAUUAAAUUAUGUAACAUGAAUGGAUGAACUAAAACAACUAAAAAGUCAACAGAAAACAGUGACAUGUUCUAAAACUACAUUUAUGUCUGAUUUGAACGACUAAAAGUCGUUAAAAAUAAACAAACUGAUAAAACUUGAAUAAUUUGAACCAGUUUGAAGCUGAACUCAGACCUGUUCUGAUCCAAACAUCUGCAUCAUUCUGUUCUGGAGGAUCUUCACCCAGAACCAGGACCAGGACCAGGAGGAGGAGGGACAGUGUGAUCCAUCAGAUGAGUGAUGUCGGACCGUACCGCCCCGGGCUGCCGGCUCAGACUGGACUGGGUCUACGGGUACCGGGGCCACCAGUGCAGGAACAACCUGUUCUACACGGCGGGGAAGGAGGUGGUGUACUUUGUGGCGGGGGUCGGGGUGGUUUACAACACCAGGGAGCACAGCCAGAGGUUCUACCUGGGUCACAAUGAUGACAUCAUCAGCCUGGCGUUGCAUCCGGAGCGCUCCCUGGUAGCGACGGGUCAGGUGGGGAAGGAUCCCUACGUGUGUGUGUGGGACUCCUUCACUGUCCAGACGAUCUCAUUUCUGCGUGAUGGACACACACACGGCAUCGCCUGCCUGGCAUUCAGCGCUGACGGACAGAGGUUAGCUUCUGUGGGUCUGGAUGCAAAGAACACUGUGUGUGUUUGGGAGUGGAAGAGAGGGAAGAUCCUGGCUUCAGCCACCGGACACUCAGAUAGGAUAUUUGACAUUUGCUGGGAUCCAUUUCAGCAGAACCGUUUGGUGAGCUGUGGAGUCAAACACAUCAAGUUCUGGUCACUGUGCGGAAACGCUCUCACUCCAAAACGUGGAAUUUUUGGGAAAACGGGGGACUUGCAGACCAUCCUGUGUGUGGCGUCAGCUAAAGAUGAUGUCACGUACUCUGGCGCACUCAACGGAGACAUCUACGUCUGGAAAGGCCUGAACCUGAUGCGAACGAUUCAGUCUGCCCACAGCGCUGGCAUCUUUAGCAUGUAUUCCUGCGAGGAAGGCUUCACCACCGGAGGCAGAGACGGCUGCAUCCGGCUGUGGGACGUUGACUUCAAACCUAUCACCAAGAUCGACCUGCGAGAGGCUGAGCAAGGAUACAAAGGGCUGUCCAUUCGAAGUGUCUGCUGGCGAGCCGACAGGAUUCUAGCAGGAACUCAGGACAGUGAGAUCUUUGAGGUGAUGGUUCGGGAUCGGGACAAACCUCUUCUGAUCAUGCAGGGACACAGCGAGGGCGAGCUCUGGGCGCUGGACGUUCAUCCCAAAAAGUCUCUUGCUGUCACUGGCAGCGACGACCGCUCUGUCCGGUUGUGGAGUCUUGUCGAUCACGCCCUCAUUGCUCGCUGCAACAUGGAGGAGGCGGUGCGCAGCGUGGCGUUCAGCAUGGACGGAUCUCAACUGGCUCUGGGCAUGAAGGACGGAUCCUUUACUGUUCUGAGAGUCAGAGACAUGACAGAGGUGGUUCACAUCAAGGACAGGAAGGAGGUGAUCCAUGAGAUGAAGUUUUCUCCAGAUGGAGUGUACCUCGCCGUGGGUUCUAAUGAUGGACUCGUGGACGUCUAUGCUGUGGCACAGAGAUACAAGAAGGUAGGAGAAUGCAGUAAGUCCUCCAGUUUUAUCACACACCUGGACUGGUCUCUGGACAGUAAAAUCCUGCAGACCAAUGAUGGAGCUGGAGAACGACACUUCUACCGCAUGCCCAUGGGGAAACCCAUCCUCAACAAGGAGGAGCUCAAAGGUCAGCGAUGGGCCACCUGGAGCAGCGUUCUGGGCUCAGAGGUCAGUGGUAUCUGGCCCAAAUACUCCGACUCAACACAGAUCAACGCUGUGGAUGCCAACCACGCAGCAGGAGUGCUCGUCACUGGAGACGACUUCGGCAUUGUUCGGCUCUACCGCUUCCCCUGCCUCAGAAAAGGAGCCAAGUUCAAGAAGUACGUUGGUCACUCGGCUCAUGUGACUAACGCCCGGUGGUCACAUGACCUGCAGCUGGUGCUGACCACAGGUGGAGCCGACCACGCCCUCUUCCAGUGGAGGUUUUUAUCUGACGACAUCAUGAACGGCGGUCUGGACGUCAAUGUAGAAGGGAGUCUCGGAGACUCGAACAGUGAAGAAUCCGACAGCGACGUGUCUGACGUCCCAGAGCUCGACUCCGACAUCGAGCAGGAAACACAGAUCAACUACGACAGACAGGUGUACAAGGAGGACUUGCCUCAGCUGCGACAGCAGAGCCGAGAGAAGAAGCAGCAGGUUGGGUCUCUGAAGAGACAGAACGGACCGGACCAAGGCCUGCGACUGCAGUUUGUUCACGGGUACCGAGGUUACGACUGCAGGAACAACCUUUUCUACACUCAGAGCGGAGAGGUGGUGUAUCACGUGGCAGCUGUGGCCGUGGUUUAUAACCGACAGCUGCACAGCCAGCGCUUCUACCUCGGACAUGAUGAUGAUAUCCUGAGCCUCAGCCUCCACCCUCUGAAGGACUUCGCUGCUACAGGACAGGUGGGGAGGGACCCGGCCAUCCAUGUAUGGGACAUCCAGACUCUGAAGUGUCUGUCUUUGCUGAAAGGCUUUCAUCAGAGAGGAGUGUGUGCACUCAGCUUCUCUGCUGAUGGAAAGAGUCUGGUUUCAGUUGGAGUGGAUGACGGACACUCCAUCGUUGUUUGGGAUUGGAAGAGAGGAGAGAAAUUGGCUACAGCUCGAGGUCAUAAGGAGAAGAUCUUUGUGGUGAAGUGUAACCCCAUGUUGAUGGACAAACUGGUCACUGUGGGAAUCAAACACAUCAAGUUCUGGCAACUUGCAGGACAAACUCACGUUGCCAAGUCGUCUGGAUCCUCGAACAGUCUCUCUUGAAACUCAUCCACCCGCAGGAACAAUCAGGAWAUCAUCAGGAACCCAAUCAGCCACUCUGCCUGAAGAAACUCACCACUCGGAACCCCUCCUCUGAUCCAUGCUCCUUACCACCWGGAAAACCUCAAGACGCCCCAAGACUCCUCAGCACUCGCCAACAAACUACAGAAGGUCUUUUUCAGAGACUUAGCCUCCAGAUGUCCGCCCUAGACGCUAAGCUAAGUGCGUUAGCACCUCCUGCCGUCCCACAAGCACCCCCCGUGCCGGUCACURCUCCGCAGGUAAGCCCCACCCUUCGGGAGCCGGAUUUUAGACCUGCUGAACUUUUUGAGGGUGACCUAGAUAAAUGUGGGGGUUUUUUGCUUCAAUGCAGGUUAGCUUUUUCCCGUUCUCCUUCGCUUUUUCCCGAUCAUAUGUCUAAAAUCACGUAUAUCAUAAACUCUCUGAAGGGAAGAGCUUUACGAUGGGCGCAUGCCUUUUUACA